AUUGAACGCUGGCGGCAUGCUUUACACAUGCAAGUCGAACGGUAACAGGCCGCAAGGUGCUGACGAGUGGCGAACGGGUGAGUAAUGCAUCGGAACGUGCCCAGUCGUGGGGGAUAACGCAGCGAAAGCUGCGCUAAUACCGCAUACGAUCUAUGGAUGAAAGCGGGGGACCGUAAGGCCUCGCGCGAUUGGAGCGGCCGAUGUCAGAUUAGGUAGUUGGUGGGGUAAAGGCCCACCAAGCCGACGAUCUGUAGCUGGUCUGAGAGGACGACCAGACACACUGGGACUGAGACACGGCCCAGACUCCUACGGGAGGCAGCAGUGGGGAAUUUUGGACAAUGGGCGCAAGCCUGAUCCAGCAAUGCCGCGUGCAGGAAGAAGGCCUUCGGGUUGUAAACUGCUUUUGUACGGAACGAAACGGCUCUGGUUAAUACCCGGGGCUAAUGACGGUACCGUAAGAAUAAGCACCGGCUAACUACGAGCCAGCCGCCGCCGUAAAAC
rnacentral:rRNA from 1 species